rnacentral:snRNA from 1 species
AUAGCUUCUCGGCCUCAUCGCUAAGAUUAAAGUGUAGUAUCUCUUCUUAUCAGCUUAAGUCAGUGAUUUUUGGGGUCAGAAGGAACGCUAGAAGAUUGCUCCGCUUCUGUCGCGGGUCGGCCGGUAUUGCAGUACCGCCGGAUUUUUGGGCGAAUCAUA